CCGGCGCACGGGUGCGUAACACGUAUACAAUCUGCCUUCAACUGGGGAAUAGCUCCGAGAAAUCGGAAUUAAUACCGCAUAAUAUUAUCGAGAGGCAUCUUUUGGUAAUCAAAGCUCAGGCGGUUGAAGAUGAGUAUGCGCAACAUUAGCUAGUUGGUGAGGUAAUGGCUCACCAAGGCUACGAUGUUUAGGGGGUCUGAGAGGAUGAUCCCCCACACUGGUACUGAGACACGGACCAGACUCCUACGGGAGGCAGCAGUAGGGAAUAUUGGGCAAUGGACGCAAGUCUGACCCAGCCAUGCCGCGUGCAGGAUGAAGGCCCUAUGGGUUGUAAACUGCUUUUCUACGGGAAGAAACUCCUCGACGUGUCGGGGACCGACGGUAUCGUAGGAAUAAGGAUCGGCUAACUCCGUGCCAGCAGCCGCGGUAAUACGGAGGAUCCAAGCGUUGUCCGGAUUUAUUGGGUUUAAAGGGUGCGUAGGCGGAUAAUUAAGU
rnacentral:rRNA from 1 species